rnacentral:rRNA from 1 species
CUGAGCUCAGGCAAGAACACCCGCUGAACUUAAGCAUAUCAAUAAGCGGAGGAAAAGAAACUAACCAGGAUUCCCCUAGUAACGGCGAGUGAACCGGGAAUAGCCCAGAAUGAAAAUCUCUUCGGAGAAUUGUAGUCUAUAGAAGCGCCCUCUGUGGCGGUGGGAUCCCAAGUCCGGUGGAAGCCGGCGUCAGAGAGGGUGAGAACCCCGUCGGAUCUACACUUAGCUGCUCCACGAGGUGCUUUCCACGAGUCGGGUUGUUUGGGAAUGCAGCCCAAAAUGGGAGGUAAAUCCCUUCUAAGGCUAAAUACUGGCGAGAGACCGAUAGCGACA